AUUCCAGAGGGGCUCAUCGAGCUCAAACAAGAGGAGUUCCGUGCUCUCAAGCAAGGUGUUGACGGUCCUUAAGUAUCAAAUUUAACUAUCAAAUAAACAAAGAAAAGGAUCCAAAUGAAAUCAACAUCGAGACUUAGGGUUUUAUCUGACAGAAUUCCAUGAGUUUUGGUGUUUGUCUAUUUCUGCAGGGGGUUAUCAGGA
rnacentral:lncRNA from 1 species